rnacentral:rRNA from 1 species
AGAUUGAACGCUGGCGGCAUGCUUUACACAUGCAAGUCGAACGGCAGCACGGGGGCAACCCUGGUGGCGAGUGGCGAACGGGUGAGUAAUGCAUCGGAACGUAUCUUUAAGUGGGGGAUAACGCAUCGAAAGAUGCGCUAAUACCGCAUAAUCUCCGAGGAGAAAGCGAGGGGAUCGCAAGACCUUGCGUCUUUUGGAGCGGCCAUGUCUGAUUAGCUUAGUUGGUGAGGUAAAGGCUUACCAAGGCUUCGAUCAGUAGCUGGUCUGAGAGGACGACCAGCCACACUGGGACUGAGACACGGCCCAGACUCCGUACGGGAGGCAGCAGGUCGGGUAAUUUGGACAAGUACGGGGGAAACCCUGACUCGAGUCCAUCGCCGCGUAGAGGUAGAACGAAGGUCCGUUCGGUUAGUAA